rnacentral:rRNA from 1 species
GGACUACCGGGGUAUCUAAUCCUGUUUGCUCCCCACGCUUUCGCACCUGAGCGUCAGUCUUUGUCCAGGGGGCCGCCUUCGCCACCGGUAUUCCUCCAGAUCUCUACGCAUUUCACCGCUACACCUGGAAUUCUACCCCCCUCUACAAGACUCUAGCCUGCCAGUUUCGAAUGCAGUUCCCAGGUUGAGCCCGGGGAUUUCACAUCCGACUUGACAGACCGCCUGCGUGCGCUUUACGCCCAGUAAUUCCGAUUAACGCUUGCACCCUCCGUAUUACCGCGGCUGCUGGCAC